rnacentral:rRNA from 1 species
CACGUAGGGCGCAAGCGUUGUCCGGAAUUAUUGGGCGUAAAGAGCUCGUAGGCGGUCUGUUGCGUCCGCUGUGAAAACUCGGGGCUUAACCCCGAGCCUGCAGUGGAUACGGGCAGACUAGAGGUAGGUAGGGGAGAAUGGAAUUCCCGGUGUAGCGGUGAAAUGCGUAGAUAUCUGGAGGAACACCGGUGGCGAAGGCGGCAUCCUGGACCAACACUGACGCUGAGGAGCGAAAGCCAGGGGAGCAAACGGG